rnacentral:rRNA from 1 species
AUUGAACGCUGGCGGCAGGCUUAACACAUGCAAGUCGAGCGGGGGAAGGUAGCUUGCUACUGGACCUAGUGGCGGACGGGUGAGUAAUGCUUAGGAAUCUGCCUAUUAGUGGGGGACAACAUCUCGAAAGGGAUGCUAAUACCGCAUACGUCCUACGGGAGAAAGCAGGGGAUCUUCGGACCUUGCGCUAAUAGAUGAGCCUAAGUCGGAUUAGCUAGUUGGUGGGGUAAAUGCCUACCAAGGCGACGAUCUGUAGCGGGUCUGAGAGGAUGAGCCGCAACACUGGGACUGAGACACGGCCCAGACUCCUACGGGAGGCAGCAGUGGGGAAUAUUGGACAAUGGGGGGAACCCUGAUCCAGCCAUGCCGCGUGUGUGAAGAAGGCCUUAUGGUUGUAAAGCACUUUAAGCGAGGAGGAGGCUACUUUAGUUAAUACCUAGAGAUAGUGGACGUUACUCGCAGAAUAAGCACCGGCUAACUCUGUGCCAGCAGCCGCCGUAA